CAAGUUUGCAAGCAGAAGGAAGCGUCGAUGCGUACUCGUUUUUUCUCUAGUGAAACCACUACGAAAAAACUAUUUGAAAUCGUACCACACGCACGAACGGGAUUGAGCACGGACCACGAUAGAAACAAUAUUCAAUUGGUUGGAGUGCCGAAAACAACAGAACAGGAGAGGAAAGAAGGGGGGAACGAUCAUUCAAAGCGCUAGAGCUGGACGAAGUAGAAGCGGCACGAUGGCAGGAACGAUCCUCCAACGUGCUAGUGCCUGGUAGAAGAGAAGCGGCAGGAAGGUAGGGACGAUCAUCCAGCGCGCUAGCGCUGCAUAUUGGAGCAGCGAGAGGGAGGCAAGCAGGAGCAAUUUUAAACGUGUGGACACCAUUCGACGAAGACAACGCUGGAUGAAAGGAAGAACGAGGAGAGAAGGCAGGCAAGACGGGUACGUGUGUAUCCCGCACCGGUUUUCGGCAGUGUGAAUUGUGUGAGUAUGUAAAUUUGUAUGUGCGUGUAAGAAGGUAAAAUAAAGAGUGUAAGCAUGUGCG